rnacentral:rRNA from 1 species
GUGGGGAAUCUUGGACAAUGGGCGCAAGCCUGAUCCAGCCAUGCCGCGUGAGUGAUGAAGGCCUUAGGGUUGUAAAGCUCUUUCGACGGGGACGAUAAUGACGGUACCCGUAGAAGAAGCCCCGGCUAACUUCGUGCCAGCAGCCGCGGUAAUACGAAGGGGGCUAGCGUUGUUCGGAAUUACUGGGCGUAAAGCGCACGUAGGCGGACAUUUAAGUUGGAGGUGAAAGCCUUGGGCUCAACCCAAGAAUUGCCUUCGAUACUGGAUGUCUCGAGACCGGGAGAGGUGAGUGGAAUUCCGAGUGUAGAGGUGAAAUUCGUAGAUAUUCGGAAGAACACCAGUGGCGAAGGCGGCUCACUGGCCCGGUUCUGACGCUGAGGUGCGAAAGCGUGGGGAGCAAACAGGAUUAGAAACCCGGGUAGUCC